rnacentral:rRNA from 1 species
CCUACGGGGGGCUGCAGUCGAGAAUAUUGGACAAUGGGCGAAAGCCUGAUCCAGCGACAUUGCGUGGAGGAUGAAGACGUUCGCGCCGUAAACUCCUUUUAUAGGGAAAGAAGUAAUUGACGGUACCCUAUGAAUAAGCGGGGGCUAAUUCUGUGCCAGCAGCAGCGGUAAUACAGAACCCGCAAGCGUUAUCCGGAUUUAUUGGGCGUAAAGUGUUCGUAGGCGGUUCGGAAAGUCUGAUAUCAAAUAUCCGGGCUCAACCCGGGGCGAGUAUUGGAAACUUCCGAACUUGAAGGUGCUAGGGGCUAUCGGAACGCACGGUGUAGGGGUGAAAUCCGUUGAUAUCGUGCGGAACACCAAAAGCGAAGGCAGAUAGCUGGGGCAUUCUUGACGCUGAGGAACGAAAGCGUGGGGAGCAAACAGGAUUAGAUACCCCGGUAGUC